rnacentral:rRNA from 1 species
UACGAAGGGGGCUAGCGUUGCUCGGAUUGACUGGGCGUAAAGGGCGCGUAGGCGGUUCGUACAGUCAGACGUGAAAUUCCUGGGCUCAACCUGGGGGCUGCGUUUGAUACGUGCGGACUUGAGUGCGGAAGAGGGUCGUGGAAUUCCCAGUGUAGAGGUGAAAUUCGUAGAUAUUCGGAAGAACACCGAUGGCGAAGGCAGCCAUCUGGACCGACACUGACGCUGAGGCGCGAAAGCGUGGGGAGCAAACAGG